rnacentral:rRNA from 1 species
CCUACGGGGGGCUGCAGUGGGGAAUAUUGGACAAUGGGGGUAACCCUGAUCCAGCCAUGCCGCGUGUGUGAAGAAGGCCCUCGGGUUGUAAAGCACUUUCAGUGAGGAAGAACGCCUGGUGGUUAAUACCCAUCAGGAAAGACAUCACUCACAGAAGAAGCACCGGCUAACUCCGUGCCAGCAGCCGCGGUAAUACGGCGGGUGCGAGCGUUAAUCGGAAUUACUGGGCGUAAAGCGCGCGUAGGUGGCUUGAUAAGCCGGUUGUGAAAGCCCCGGGCUCAACCUGGGAACGGCAUCCGGAACUGGCAAGCUAGAGUGCAGGAGAGGAAGGUAGAAUUCCCGGUGUAGCGGUGAAAUGCGUAGAGAUCGGGAGGAAUACCAGUGGCGAAGGCGGCCUUCUGGACUGACACUGACACUGAGGUGCGAAAGCGUGGGUAGCACACAGGAUUAGAUACCCUAGUAGGC